AGUAAUCGGCAUCAUCGAAUUUAUCGGGUCUCUAGAUCUGUGAACGCAUGGCCGGAACCAUCCAUUGCUGCUUGAAGAUGAUUGGUUCAGAUAAUAUGGCAACUCUUACAUGGUUAAGCAUUUCAGCAACACCACAACCCAGUGCAGAUGUGCUGUAUGGAACAAGACCACAUGGAGCCAUGCUUUGACCCGUCAGAGAGAGACCAUGUUUACCCCUGGAUCAGCAAACCAUAUUCACCCUCUCCUACCACUCAACAUGUUUGCCAGUGUCAAGAAUCAGUAUGCUGACCAGGAGAUGUCAAGUUCCACGCCCUUGAAGACAGUUGGAAAGAUCUAAUGUCAACGAAUGAGGGAGUAAUCAGCAUGCCAGAUUACAUACAAGCCAGGCAGUUACCAUCACGACAGUGACACUUUAAUGUUGUCAGAGUGAUUUAACAUCACACAAAUCAUUUUGAUUCUUGAAAGGAGACCUCAACCUGGCAAGAACUGGAAAAGACCCUAACUGUAUCAACAGAAAACAGAGCUGGUGUUCACUGUAUUUUGUCCCAGUAGGAAGGACAACAUUUUCUAUAUUGGGAUAAGGACGUGAUGUAAAGGACAGUGAGAGGAAUAAGAGUUCACCUUUCUGUCACAAGAUAAAACUGUGAAAACUGAAAUUUUAUCCUUCUACUAUUUUGGGAUUUGAAAUUGAGAGAUCACUGUCUAUACUCUUUCCUGAAUUUAAAACCAGCUAUACAAUAAGGGGAAAAGAGACUUAACACCUUUUGUACUUUUAUUACUACAAUUGUGGAAUAAUAUAUACAGCACAAUGUCUUGAGACUUAAUUGUGUGAGGUCUUUUCUAAAAAUGAACGCAAAGUCAUGGUAGCAAUGAUUUAUGAAUCUGAAACCGAUUAUCUCCCUUAGACUGGUGAACAGUUAGACUUUCUGGCAGACAAUUUACAUGGUGGAAAGGUGUUAGGUCAGUUAUGUCUUACUGUAAAAAUUGCAAUAUACAUUUUUGUAUGAAGGAUAAUUUUUAAUAGUUUCCCAGAAACAUCUCUGUUUUGUAAUUUCACUUGUGAUAUUGUGUAUUUGUAAUUGUAAGAGUCAUUAUUGAUUUCAUUUAAUUUUCGUUUUUGUAAUUUUUUUCAUGGAGAAAUAUAAUUGAAUUUGUUUUGGAUCUACUUUACAACAACAAGAUAUUUAAGUAUUUUUAAACCUCAGUUUUCUGCAGGUUAUUUGGAAGUUUCUUUAUCAAAUAUUGUAGAAAUCUGUGUUUCCUAUGGACUGAGUACGGAAGAGAUCCACAUGCUUUGAGGAAUUUAUAGGGAGACAUAUGUUGUCUUGGUGUCACCUCCAAAUGUACGUUAAUUAACUAUUGUAUACAUUUAACCCUGGUAAAUACAUAUCUGUAACCUCUCUAGCUUGAUCUGUUAUAUUAACCCUUUCGGUGCCGUAGGCGACUUUGGUCGGCAAUUUUUAUAUCUUUAUUUUAUAUAUUUUUAUAAUAUUUGGCACUGAGCUGUACAUUGUGAGAGAUAUUUGGCACUGAACUGUACAUU